CCCCCUUGCCCCACCCUGCCCGGGACCCAGUUCAAGUAAUUCAGGAUAGGCUGUGUGGUGUUCAAGCCUGUUCUUCAUUACUUGGCUCGGGAGCCGGUGCCUUGCAGCUCUGGGGUGA
rnacentral:pre_miRNA from 15 species